rnacentral:rRNA from 1 species
AUUGAACGCUGGCGGCAGGCCUAACACAUGCAAGUCGAACGAGUGGCGGACGGGUGAGUGAUGUCUGGGAACCUGCCUGAUGGAGGGGUAUGACUACGGGAACCGGUAGCUAAUACCGCUUACCCUCCGUUGUGCCCAGAUGGGAUUAGCUAGUUGGUGGGGUAACGGCUCACCAAGGCGACGCUCCCUAGCUGGUCUGAGAGGAUGACCAGCAACACUGGAACUGAGACACGGUCCAGACUCCUACGGGAGGCAGCAGUGGGGAAUAUUGGACAAUGGGCGCAAGCCUGAUGCAGCCAUGCCGCGUGUAUGAAGAAGGCCUUCGGGUUGUAAAGUACUUUCAGCGGGGAGGCGUUACCCGCAGAAGAAGCACCGGCUAACUCCGUGCCAGCAGCCGCGGUAAUAC